CCGCGGUAAACGUAAGGUCACAAGCGUUGUCCGGAAUUACUGGUGUAAGGAGCGCAGGCGGGAAGGCAAGUUGGAAGUGAAAUCCAUGGGCGUCAACCCAUGAACUGCUUUCAAAACUAGUUUUUCUUGAGUAGUGCAGAGGUAGGCGGAAUUCCCGGUGUAGCGGUGGAAUGCGUAGAUAUCGGGAGGAACACCAGUGGCGAAGGCGGCCUACUGGGCACCAACUGACGCUGAGGCUCGAAAGUGUGGGUAGCAAACAGGAUUAGAUACCCUUGU
rnacentral:rRNA from 1 species